GAAUAUGCCCGGUACUAAGGAAUAGCCUUUGGAAACGAAGAGUAAUACCUUAUACGCCCUUUGGGGGAAAGAUUUAUCGGUAUCGGAUUAGCCCGCGUAAGAUUAGAUAGUUGGUGGGGUAAUGGCCUACCAAGUCUACGAUCUUUAGCUGGUUUUAGAGGAUGAUCAGCAACACUGGGACUGAGACACGGCCCAGACUCCUACGGGAGGCAGCAGUGGGGAAUCUUAGACAAUGGGCGCAAGCCUGAUCUAGCCAUGCCGCGUGAGUGAAGAAGGCCUUAGGGUCGUAAAACUCUUUCGCCAGAGAUGAUAAUGACAGUAUCUGGUAAAGAAACCCCGGCUAACUCCGUGCCAGCAGCCGCGGUAAUACGGAGGGGGUUAGCGUUGUUCGGAAUUACUGGGCGUAAAGCGCACGUAGGCGGACUGGAAAGUUGGGGGUGAAAUCCCGGGGCUCAACCUCGGAACUGCCUCCAAAACUAUCAGUCUAGAGUUCGAGAGAGGUGAGUGGAAUUCCAAGUGUAGAGGUGAAAUUCGUAGAUAUUUGGAGGAACACCAGUGGCGAAGGCGGCUCACUGGCUCGAUACUGACGCUGAGGUGCGAAAGUGUGGGGAGCAAACAGGAUUAGAUACCCUGGUAGUCCACACCGUAAACGAUGAAUGCCAGUCGUCGGCAAGUAUACUUGUCGGUGACACACCUAACGGAUUAAGCAUUCCGCCUGGGGAGUACGGUCGCAAGAUUAAAACUCAAAGGAAUUGACGGGGGCCCGCACAAGCGGUGGAGCAUGUGGUUUAAUUCGAAGC
rnacentral:rRNA from 1 species